AAAGUCGUAACAAGGUUUCCGUAGGUGAACCUGCGGAAGGAUCAUUAAAGAGUUUAGAGACUUCGGUCUACUAUUCCACCCUUUGUUUACAAUACCAUUGUUGCUUUGGCAGGCCCGUCGCAAGACAACCGGCUUUGGCUGGUCAGUGUCUGCCAGAGGACCUAAAACUCAUGUUUAUAUUAUUGUCUGAGUACUAUAUAAUAGUUAAAACUUUCAACAACGGAUCUCUUGGUUCUGGCAUCGAUGAAGAACGCAGCGAAAUGCGAUAAGUAAUGUGAAUUGCAGAAUUCAGUGAAUCAUCGAAUCUUUGAACGCACAUUGCGCCCUCUGGUAUUCCGGGGGGCAUGCCUGUUCGAGCGUCAUUACAACCCUCAAGCUCUGCUUGGUAUUAGGCUUCACCCUUAGGGGCGGGCUUUAAAAUCAGUGGCGGUGCCAUUCGGCUUCAAGCGUAGUAAUUUUCUCGCUUUGGAGGACCGGCUGUGUGCUUGCCAACAACCCCAAUUUUUUAAAGGUUGACCUCGGAUCAGGUAGGGAUACCCGCUGAACUUAAGCAUAUCAAUAAGCGGAGGAAAAGAAACCAAC
rnacentral:rRNA from 1 species